UACGGAGGAUGCAAGCGUUAUCCGGAAUGAUUGGGCGUAAAGCGUUUUAAGGUGGUUUGGUAAGUCUGAUGUGAAAUCCCCGGGCUCAACCUGGGAAUUGCAUUGGAGACUGCAAGGCUAGGAUCUGGCAGAGGGGGGUAGAAUUCCACGUGUAGCAGUGAAAUGCGUAGAGAUGUGGAGGAACACCGAUGGCGAAGGCAGCCCCCUGGGUCAAGAUUGACGCUCAUGCACGAAAGCGUGGGGAGCAAACAGG
rnacentral:rRNA from 1 species